GGUGAAUUUACAUGUGAUUAAGUUUAACUUGCUUUCUGCCUUAAUCUAGGCUAAGCAGGGCCCCUACUUAAAGAUCAUUGCUACUAAAAAUUAUUGAUAUACCCAUUCAUAGACUUUAAAGAAAAUGCCAGUGGAGAAUUCCCUGGUGGUCUAGAGAUUAGGACUCCAUGCUUCCAAUGACAGGGGUUGGGGUUCGAUCCCAGGUUGGGGAACUAAGAUCCCAUAAGCCAAGUGGUGCAGCCAGGGGAAAAAAAGAAAGAAGAUGCCGGUAAAGGGUUGUCCUUAAAGAGGAUCUUGCCGCUGAAAUGGGCUCUUUUGCUCUAUUCUGGGCUUCCCUGGUGGCUCAGAUGGUAAAAAAUCUGCCUGCAACGCAGAAGACCCGGCUUCCAUCCCUGAGUUGGGAUGUCUCCUCCCCGGCACUUCGUCACACAUAACACGUAUAUCAAUUGAUGCUUUCAAACUGUGGCACUGGAGAAGACUCUUUGAUUAGAGUUCCUUGGGCAGCAAGGAGAUCAAACCAGUCAAUCCUAAAGGAAAUCAGCCCUGAAUAUUCAUGGCAAGGACUGAUGCUGAAGCUGCAGUACUUUGGCCACCUGAUGCAAAGAGCCAACUCAUUGGAAAAGACCUUAAUGUUGGGAAAGAUUGAGGGCAAGAGGAGAAAGGGGCAUCAGAGGAUGAGAUGGUUGGAUGGCAUCACAGACUCAAUGGACAUGAGUUUGAGCAAACUCAGAGAGGUAGUGAGGACAGAGAAGCCUGGCAUGCUGCAGUUCAUGGGGUCGGAAAGAGUCAGACACAACUUAGUGACUGAACAACAACAACGAAUACAAUACUUGCACACAGAUCGUUUCUAUUUUCAUUCUUAUUUGAGGUUGGCCCUGUGGUGAAUCCAUUUCUGUAGAUAAUACAUUGAUAAUAGCCUCAGGAUAGUGGGUUUAUCUCUGCGAUGGUGGGUCUAUCUUUAAAUCAUUUUUUUAAAGAUUUUUUUUUGAUGUGGACCAUUUUUAAAGUCUUUACUGAAUUU
ensembl:lncRNA